rnacentral:rRNA from 1 species
GACGCACGCUAGCGGGAUGCCUUACACAUGCAAGUCGCACGGAGUGGCGAACGGGUGAGUAAUGUAUCGGAACGUGCCCCGUAGCGGGGGAUAACUACGCGAAAGCGUAGCUAAUACCGCAUACUAUUUGAGCGGCCGAUAUCGGCUUAGCUAGUUGGGGGGGUAACGGCUCACAAAGGCGACGAUCCGUAGCUGGUUUGAGAGGAAGACCCGCCACACGUGGACUGAGACACGGCCCAGAGUCCUACGGGAGGCAGCAGUGGGGAAUUUUGGACAAUGGGGGAAACCCUGAUCCAGCCAUCCCGCGUGUGCGAUGAAGGCCUUCGGGUUGUAAAGCACUUUUGGCAGGAAAGCGGUACCUGCAGAAUAAGCACCGGCUAACUACGUGCCAGCAGCCGCGGUAAUUC